rnacentral:rRNA from 1 species
UGCCAGCCGCCGCGGUAAUACGUAGGUGGCAAGCGUUGUUCGGAAUUACUGGGCGUAAAGCGCGCGUAGGCGGCUUUUUAAGUCAGAUGUGAAAGUCCACGGCUCAACCGUGGAAGUGCAUUUGAAACUGGGAGGCUUGAGUAUUGGAGGGGGUGGUGGAAUUCCCGGUGUAGAGGUGAAAUUCGUAGAUAUCGGGAGGAAUACCAGUGGCGAAGGCGCUGACCUGGACGAAGAUUGACGCUGAGGCGCGAAAGCGUGGGUAGCAAACAGGAUUAGAUA